CCUACGGGGUGCUGCAGUAGGGAAUUUUGCGCAAUGGGCGAAAGCCUGACGCAGCAACGCCGCGUGAUCGAGACGCCCUUCGGGGUGUAAAGAUCUGUCAGUGGGGACGAAACUUGACGGUACCCACAGAGGAAGCACCGGCUAACACCGUGCCAGCAGCCGCGGUAAUACGGGGGGUGCAAGCGUUGUCCGGAAUCAUUGGGCGUAAAGAGUUCGUAGGCGGCACGUAAAGUCUGGUGUUAAAGGCAGAGGCUCAACUUCUGUACGGCACUGGAUACUUGCGAGCUAGAAUGCGGUAGGGGUGAAGGGAAUUCCGGGUGUAGCGGUGAACUGCUUAGAUAUCAGGAGGAACAUCGGGGGCGUAAGCGCUUUACUGGGCCGUAAUUGGCGCUGGGGAGCGAGAGCCAGGGUAGCAAAUGGGAUUAGAUACCCGUGGUC
rnacentral:rRNA from 1 species